rnacentral:lncRNA from 1 species
CGGUCCGGAAAUUUGAAGACGCGAGCGGAGAGGCUCACCGGCGAGGUCAGCACGACGCGAAGACGGCGGUGCGGCGCUAGGGUUUCGGCGAGCAAUCACGGCGGCAGGGGCGCGCAAGAGAGAGGGGAACUAGAGGGGAAGAAGAGAGGGGAGCUGGGGCUUUUAAAGGACGCGGGCGGCUUGCUUCGGGAAGGUCGGGACGAGGAGAUCGCGGCGGAGACGGCGCGGCGGCGUACAUGGCAGGCGCGCGCGGGAUCAGCGGCGGCUUUCCUUGCGGGGAAGAAGACCCUGAAGCGUGGGUCCCAUGCGUCUGUGGCUCGGGCGCGCGCGUGCGGUUGGGCCGGCUUGGUCUGGUUCGGCGCGGGCGAAGCGGGGCCGGUUCGGCCCAUUGGGCCGGGCCGGUCCGGUUUUCUCCUUUUUUUUUUCUUUUAGCCUUUUCUUUUUCUCCUUUUCACAUUUCUUUGAUAUCUUUUGAUUUUGAACUCUAAAUUGGCCCAAAUAAAUUUCAGAAAAUUUGAAAAAUCAUGUUUUAUCAUGAUUCAACUUUUGGGAGCAAUUUCCCCUCAAAAUAAGAUAUAUAAAAAUACAUUUGCCCUAUAAAUGCCUUUAGGGCUAUAUAACUAUUUAAAUAAAAUACGUUUUCAACUCCAAAUAAAAAUGCAAAAAUUAUGGGAUAGCUUAUUUAUGCGAUAAACCUCUUUUAUAGAUAAACCCUAUUGGUUUGAAGAUCCAAAGCUCAAAUAGGUGAAAACCCUAGGGUUUAAAUAAAAACUUUUAAAGCCUUUUGAGAUUCAAAUUUGAAUUCAAAUAUGCAAUUGUGGCAUGAUGCUUAUGGAUGCAAUGCACAUGUAAGAAUUUGAAAUUUUUGGAAUGUUACACAAAUCAUGUAAAAGUAGAAGUACUCGACAUGCAUAUAAGUAUGAUGUAAUGUACACAUGACUAAAAAUCAAAUAUUGUUACGAUUUAUUGCAAAACAUCGUCUUCCCCUGUCAACUACAUCAAUACUUGAAUACAAAAUAACUUGUGGCACAUUAUAUUAAACAGAGCACUUUAUAAAAGCAUAAUAUUAUUUUCAUUGAAUUUAUAUGCCAAGUCAAAUUAACCUUGUCCAGCCUAUAUUUAAAACACCAUGCCAAGCCUAUGUCCAAAGUGUAAUGAUUAACAAUUAGAAGCUUAGGGCAAUGGUAAGCAAUCAGAAGCUUAAAACAAAAGUUUCA